rnacentral:rRNA from 1 species
UGGAUCCAGACUUUGAUUAUGGCUCAGGAUGAACGCUAGCGACAGGCUUAACACAUGCAAGUCGAGGGGCAUCGGGGAUAAAGCUUGCUUUAUCUGCCGGCGACCGGCGCACGGGUGAGUAACACGUAUGCAACCUGCCCGUCACAGAGGGAUAAGCGUGAGAAAUCGCGUCUAAUACCGCAUGACACUCUGAAGAGACAUCUCUUUGGAGUCAAAGGAGCGAUCCGGUGACGGAUGGGCAUGCGCUGCAUUAGGUAGUUGGCGGUGUAACGGACCACCAAGCCGACGAUGCAUAGGGGUUCUGAGAGGAAGGUCCCCCACACUGGUACUGAGACACGGACCAGACUCCUACGGGAGGCAGCAGUGAGGAAUAUUGGUCAAUGGGCGAGAGCCUGAACCAGCCAAGUCGCGUGAGGGAAGACGGUCCUAUGGAUUGUAAACCUCUUUUGUCGGGGAGCAAGAAAGGGUAUGCAUACCCUACUGAGAGUACCCGAAGAAAAAGCAUCGGCUAACUCCGUGCCAGCAGCCGCGGUAAUACGGAGGAUGCGAGCGUUAUCCGGAUUUAUUGGGUUUAAAGGGUGCGCAGGCGGACUGUUAAGUCAGCGGUAAAAUAGCGGGGCUCAACCCCGUCGAGCCGUUGAAACUGGCAGUCUGGAGUGGGCGAGAAGUAUGCGGAAUGCGUGGUGUAGCGGUGAAAUGCAUAGAUAUCACGCAGAACUCCGAUUGCGAAGGCAGCAUACCGGCGCCCAACUGACGCUCAGGCACGAAAGCGUGGGUAUCGAACAGGAUUAGAUACCCUGGUAGUCCACGCAGUAAACGAUGAAUACUAAUUGUUCGGCGAGAAUGAUCGCUGAGUGAUACAGCGAAAGCGUUAAGUAUUCCACCUGGGGAGUACGCCGGCAACGGUGCAACUCAAAGGAAUUGACGGA